UUAUGCUUUUAGUAAAGUAAUGAAAUUAUAUUUCAUAGUAUUGUAAGGCGUUUUGUAUGUAAUUCAAGAAAGUUGGCCUACUUUUGUUUAACUACUGGAGGUAUAGUGAAAGUAUAUAGACAGGAUUUGAACCUCUGAAUGUCCUACUUGUCUGAUAAAAACAGUUGCAGCCCUCCUUGUCCAUCCUAAUCUGAGUCCCAUGUGAUUGAAAAGAAAAGUAAUUAAUUACUCAAAGCCAAAUGCUUUGAAAUGCUUAUGUGUCCCUCUCUAGAGAACAAAGCUGUACUUCAUAUGAACCACUAGGACUACUGUGUCCCAAACAACGGGGCCGGCUUAAGCAGCCUGCAUCUUAGUUCCUCUCCUCUGUGUUCUUCCUUUAGGGUUGUGAGUGUGGAAAACAAUGCCUCUUCUAAUAGGAAAAAGAUCCUUUCAGGCACCUGGAAUUCUAAGGAGAGUAUUUCAAGAGAAAAGUCAUUCAAGAGGACCAACAGUUGUAUUUCAUGUGGAUGUGGGUAUGAUGUGCCACAGCAACAUGAUGUCUUGAUUAGUUUUAUUUGAAGACCUGCUGUAAUGAAUUCUGUAUUUGUUCAAAUCUUUGAAGAUCUGCGAGGACAAAACAGUUAUUCAAAUCUCUAUCAUGUUAGCAUGCUAUUUAUCAUACUUUCCAAUCGUCGUUGCUGAAUUAUGCGGUCCAGUUGAAAAGAAUAAGCAUUAUUUAUUGAAGACUCAUACGCUGAUAUCCAGUAAACCUCGUUAAUCAUGAUUUGACCAACUUGAGAUUUAUGGUAUUUCAUAAAAGAACUAGGUAUAUGUUUAUUUUUUGCAAAAUAUCAGAGAAAUAGAUUAGUAAGCAUUUUAGUGAUGUAAUAAAUAAGACUGUGGUAGAAUUAUUUGGAACA
rnacentral:lncRNA from 12 species